UGAGAUCAUGCCACUGCUCUCCAGGCUGGCCGACAGAGUGAGACUCAAAAAAAAAAAAAGAAAGGGAAUCUGGAAACAAGAGAAUGAAAAACUAAAUUUGUAAGGGAAGGAGCUCCCAGUGACUGUUCCCAGUGUCCUCUCCCCUGACAAAGCUUCCUAUAGUUUCACCCCAUUUCAAGGCAAUCAGGGAUGUUGCUUGGCAACCCCACCAGGAACAGUAGAGUGAGUUCUGUCCUAGUAGCAUUAAGGGUUGCUACUGCAGUCCUGAAAAGGCCCAAACUUUCCUUUAAAACCCCUCCUCCAACACAAGGGACACCAGCAAAUUGGAGGCACCUGGGAAGAGAGUCCUCUGAGGGGUAAGGUUGAAAAGAAGGCAGGUAAAGGGGAAAAUAAUCCAUCUAAAUUAGUAGAAAAAUGUAGAGAAAAUAUUAUUUUUAUUUUCUUCAAGCACUGCAAAAACUUGGUGGGUUAAGAGAGAUUUGUCGAGCCACGAACUUGGUGAGUCAGCUUCAUUGAAUUUUGAUGUGUCAAUUGAGGCCAGCAGGACAUGCCCAGUGUAUUAGUCCAUUUUCACACUGCUGAUGAAGACAUACCCGAGACUGGGAGGAAAAAGAGGUUUAAUUGGACUUACAAUUCCACAGGACUGGGGAGUCCUCAGAAUCAUGAUGGGAGGUGAAAGGCACUUCUUACAUGGCAGUGGCAAGAGAAAAAUGAGGAGGGAGCAAAAGUGGAAACCCCUGAUAAACCCAUCAGAUCUCGUGAGACUUAUUCACUAAUCAUGAGAAUACCACGGGAAAGACCAGCCCCCAUGAUUCAAUUACCUCCCCCGGAUCCCUCCCAUACAUGUGGGAAUUUGGGGAGAUUCAAGUUGAGAUUUGGGUGGGGACACAGCCAAACCAUAUCAUCCAGUUGCCAGCUGAGGUAGGCAAUCACUCCCAAUAGCUGCAGCCUCUUGGUUACCACCUACAAGUUCAAUCUCAAAGUAAGAUAUGGAGAAAAUAUUACCCCUAGUUGGUAGAGACUGAAGGUGUUAAAGUUCAACUCUAUGUUCAUUCAUUCAACACAUUUUUUUUGAGGUGUGCAGUUCAGAUAGGCAGUUGGGCAUUAGUUUUUAAACGUGAUACAUGUUAAAGAGAAGGAAGUUUAAGAUGUUAAUGGAGUGUAUGACAUGGACUCUUAACCUAGAUUGGACAGGGAGGGGAAGGUUUCAGAAAGCAUGAGAGGAUCUGAUGUUUAAUAGGAGUCUUGAAUGAUAAGUCAAAUUGAAUGAAAAGAGCAAAGGAAACAUUUUUCCAUGGGGAGUACAGAGCUUAGGCAGUGGUCCAGUCCAGCUGGAAAUGAGAGAAGUGGAUGAACUGGGGAUGGGGACGCAGAGUAUUAGUAGCAGAAGAUAAGGGUAUUAUGCAGUCAUAUGAUGAAGUCUUGCAAGUCAUAUGAGGAUUCUGGACUUUAUCCUAAGAGCUACUGGCAGCCAUUGCAAAAUUUCCAGCAUGACAGAAUAUAAUCAAAUGUACCCAGCAUCCAGUCAGCUUUUCUGCUAUCCCAUCCUACUCUAUUCUUGUACCACAGUAUUUGGAUCCCUGCUCCAGUCUCUUGAACUCCUUGAUUUCCUUCUUAGUUUCCCUGUCCCUGAAGUAAGGGAACUUUGCUAGUUUUUUGCCAUAUCCCCACUCCUUCUUUGAUGUAUAGAGUCCUGCUCUUGCACAUGAGCUUAUAGCAUCCAUUUACCUUUCAUUUCUUCUGUCUUUGCCUGUUACAAAACUAUCAGUCAUAGGGUUUAUCCCUGUCACCCAUUUCCAUGCACUAUUAUGGCUGUCCCUGAUGCUGUUUGAUUGGAUUACCUCUCUGUUACUCACUAUUAUCUUCAUCCUCCCUACACUAGGUAAAACCCACUGAAGUAGUUAUCUUCCCACACACUGUAGCAGCUGUGUGUGAACCCACUACUUGCCUGGGAACUGAUCCACUCCAAAAGACCUGUCUCAUUUUGAGUUCUGUCCAGAACAGUGAUGACCCAAAAUAUUCAUCCUAACCAUUCACCUUUUUAGAAUAGUGGCUAAGCACACUGCUUCUGGAGUCAAUUUUCCUUGUGAGUGAAUCUUGGCUUGCACUAUGACUUACUGGGUGAACUUCGGCAAGUCAGUUCAUCUCUCUGAGACUAAUUUUAUUAUUCUUACAUGAAGAUAUUGUUGCCCACCUUUUGGGGUUGUUGUGAAGAUUAAAAGAGACUAUGAAGAGAAAAUAUCUGGAAUAGCCUUGCACUAGUAGGAACAAAAUAAAUACUGGUUCCUCUUCACCCUUCCUCUGAAAGCACAUUACCUGCACAUAUUUCUGGUUUUGAUCCUUACAAUGCCUUUCUAAAAUUGGAGGAUCAAAGGAGAUUCUGCAUAUAAAGCACAGACAUAUAGUAAAAACAAAAUAAAUACAGCUAAUAUCAUUCACUAUUAGUAUUAAUGAAGCAGCAUACCCCAAUUGAGAGAUUAAUUGUGUCUUAUUUUCUUGAAUAUAGGCUCGUGAUUAAUGAACAAAAGGUAACCCCCCAUCAUGACAAUUCCUUUCUGUGUAUUCACAUGUACCAUGCACAUACUGCAGUAUUUGUCUUCUAAGAUCUCUUUUCCAUCUUUGAGAAGGACCAGCAGCCUCUAAAACCUUCCUCUUAGUUUCAGAGGCUGUCCUGAAAAAACAACAACAACAAACUUUCCUUUUAGUUUCAGAGGCUGUCCUGAAAACAACAAUAACAACAACAACACAACAACAACAACAACAACUCCCCCUGAGAGAUUAACAGAAUAGCUGAGUUGAAAAUCUUCAUUGCUGCCAUUCUUAUCCCAGUUUAGAAAAAUGGCAUCCAUGCAGCAGUAGAUAGUGAUGAUUACUAUUAUGGGCUGAAUCGUAUACCGCUAAAAGUCAUGUGUUUUAAGUCUGAACCCUCAAUACUUCUAAAUAUGACUAUGUUUUGAGAUAGGACCUUUAGAGAGAUGAUUACAGUAAAAUGAGGUUUUAGAGUGAGUUCUCAUUCAAUCUGACUAGUAGCCUUAUAGAAAGAGACAAUUUGGACCCAUAAAGAAACACCAGGGUUGUGAGUCCACAGAGAAAAGGCUUUGUGAGUACAUCGCAAGAAGAUGGUCAUCAACAGACCAAGGAAAGUGGCCUCAGAAAAUUCUGAAACUGCUGACACUUUGAUUUUAGAACUGCUGGCCUCCCAAACUUUGAGAAAAUACAUGUAUGUUGUUUAAGUAACCCAAUGGUAUUUUGUUAUGGAAGCCCUAGCAAAUGAAUACAGUGGCACAUUAAAAAUUAGGCAAUCAUUGUAGAGGUAGGGAGAGACCAGGUGGAGAGAGACAAGUGUUUGAAUCAAAAGAGAGAUGGUUGUUUGGGCAAUCCUGGCUCAGAUGUCCUGAGAAUGGGUGGAUAGAGACCUGUACUUUGCUUUCCUACAGAGAACUGGAUCAAUGCAACUGCUGCCUUAGGUCAGCUUGGAAAAUGGAUGCCUGGUGUGUGCCCUUGAGGCCAGUAUCUAGGUCCUCUUGUGAAGACUGUAAGACCAUUAAGAGGACACUACAAGUGGCCUCAGUGUGACUGCAUGGAACAGCACCCUCAAAGGAUGCCUUCACAGCAUUUCCAGAGACUGGUUGCAAGGCCGUGGUUUGACCAUUAACCAGACGUCUGCCUCAUUUUCCUGGGGCCGUAUGUGCAGAAUUGAUGCAAUCUCCAAAAGGAGGUUCCAGGGAGCUUCAUUAAUGAGUGCAAUGGUCAUCCUGCUAAUCAGAGAUGCACGAACAGAGGCCCAAGCAGUAAAGAGACCUCACCAAGGUCAUGCUGUGAGUCAAUUGCAGAGACAAGGCAAGAUUGAAAACAUUUGACUCCAAUUCCAAUGCUCUGCUGAAAGCCCAUGUAGAUAUUUAACAUCUUUUCUGCCUGGGCCAGAAUGCGCAGAAUUAUCUAGUGUGACAAAUCCUCUUUUCCUCUGUCCCUGUGCAAAGGGAAUUGCCAUCUUCUGUGAUCAUCAAGCUGGCAACAUCAAUCUGGAAGUUUGUUAAUGACACUGACCUAAAUCUGUCACGUUGCAAGAAACUCUUCACAGCAGCUGGGAUUUGCUCCCAUAUAACAGCUUUAUGGGCCAUGGACCAUGCUGUACCAGUUUGACCAGAUAGCUUCUGCUAAUAAGUGUUGUUUAUGGUGAAGCCCUGUUUUUGCUCUGGAGACCUGGAAUCAAAAUAGUUGAGAUCAGUUACACAGCUGUUGCAUGUCUAUGUAACCAGUCCCUGCUAAAAAUUCUGGACAUCAAGACUCAGGUGAGCUUCCCUGUGAGUCAACACUUCACAUAUAUUAUCACACAUUGUUGCUCGGAGAAUUAAAGUGGCCAUGUCACUCCACAAGGACUGGACACCUGGAAGCUUGCACAAGCAGUUUCGCUUGUACUUCACCCUAUACAACUUUUCCCUUCGCUGAUUUUAGUUUGUGUUUUUUUGCUGUAAUACUCUUUAACAGUUAAUAUGAAAACUUCUGUGAGUUCUUCCAGUAAAUUGUCAAGCCUCAGGGUAGUCAUGGGCACCCCUAUAUAACUAUCUGCUUCCCCACUCAUCAUCUUUAUUCCUCUUCACAUUCCUGAGAGCAACUGAGCUGGCAUAUCCAUUCUGUGAAUAAGGAUUCCUAGGCUCACUAAGGUAAAGUGCCUCUUUGAUGGUGUUUUAGGGGGUCCAAAGUCACUUGCAGUCUAAAUCAGCUAACCUUGAGAAUGGUUAAACAGUUGCAGAUCUAUGUUGUGCCUGUCACACUGAAAAAGGAGAGGACUGUGGAUGUGGCUUAGGUGCACACCAUAAAGGCUCUCUAUGACUACACCCCAGAAUUACGAGUAUACCCGCCCAGUCACAAACGGCCCUGGAUGACUAUAGUCCUCUGUGAGGAAUGAGUUUCACUCCCAAGCUUAUAGCAUGUUAGGGAGAAGACUGAUGCACUACUUUGCAAGGAGACACAGCCUAGAAAGUCACUUGAUCUCUCAAACACAACCAUCAGAACACUCACUGCAUUCUUACGUGAGGAAUAAGUGAGGAAGCAGAGAUGCAUGAAACAUGCUUCUGAUUAAUAGUUGCCCUUCUAUGCAGACUCAGUGAUAGAGAGGAAAGAAAAUUGCUUGGAUAUUUCAGGAAGUCAGCAGUGCUGCCAGAACUAGAACUCCCAGUGUUCCUGGAGGCCAGGACAUGUCCUCCGACAACAUUCUACAUUGACCUCAUGGCAAACACUGUGCGUUUUACUGUUGACUUCCAACUCUGAGGGUCUCCAUGACAUAAGAUACUGCCAAUGCUUAAAAUGCAAAACAAACAAAAAAAAGCAAUAAAUAACCUUCAUUGAACUCAAUUAGCACCAUAUAGUUGAGGAAAACAACCCCCCUCCCUACAGACCCAGGACUAUUUCUAAAAGACUGUGCCUGAAAUAUAAGAUAAGCAUAAAUCUUUAGUCUUCUCAAGCUGUUUUGCCUCUAUCAGAAUGUGGCCAGAUAUUCAGACUUAGCCCCAUCAGCCACUUCUUAGUCCUGUCUCAACUGUCUCCCCUUUAAUACACUUAAAAAAAAAAGCUGUUGUGAAACAUUGGGGUUCUGUGUCUCAGCUUCAUUCAUUCAUUUGUUCAUUUAUUGAGCGCUCAUUAAGCAUAAGCUAUGUAUUAAAUGUUGCUCUAUGUUUUGGGGCCGCAAGAACAAUUAAGUCCUUACCACAAAGGGUUUACCUUCAGUUUUAGGAAGUAGAGCAUGCUGAUGAAACAUAGAAACAUGCAUCCCCAAACCAAAGAUAGACUCAUUUGCAGGAUACAGUCAAGAUAUAGAUGAGAGAGUGGUAAAUCUCUUAUUUGCACUCUAAAAACACCUACUUCAGAUCUGUCAUUCACAUCAGCUCCCCAUUUUCUCCCCAACCUCCAAUUACCUCUUUUGGCCCGAUUCUUCAGUUAUUCCCAACACCCACUCGUGAUUUGACUAAGUGCCCUCAGUACCUAUAUCCCUCACCCAUGUUGGUUUGGACCAGAUGCUCUAUUGAGCCUAGUGCUCAAUCUGUACCAGUUUAAUUGCCAUUCAGAUUUGGGCCUUGCAGCCUGCCUUGGCAACUACUUCUGCAAGACUUUUGCCGGCAGAGCUCAAAUUGUACCUCCAGAGAGCUAGAGGUUGUGUUGUACUUUCUAUGGUAAGCCUAUGACCUGGAAUUGCUUAUCCAAGCUGAAACACAAUCUACUCACCUCCUGGUUUGGGGGCAUGAUUUAAAGCCUUAAUGGUGUCUCAUCGAUUUUUUAAGGUAUGCUCAGAACUGGCACUCUGCUCUUGCAUAUUUUAAUUGUUACUGUUUUAUUCUUGCAUCCUGAGGUGAUUUUACUGGAAGAAUACAUGCUUGAAGAAGUUGAAUUAAAUACAGGUAAAUCUCAUUAAUUCAGGCUCCACUAAUUCAGGCUGUACUCAAACAUAACUUUGUGCUAUCCAGAAUUAAAAAAAGAUUUUCUAAAUAAAUUAAUGGUGGAAAUAAGACCUCAGGGGGAAGAGAAUGUUUCACCUGUUUAAAAGGCAGUGCUUCCAGACACUGUAGGGAUUUCACAAAAGCCAUCAACAUAUAAACAAUUUCCUUUGUGUUUGUUUAUUAAGGCUAAAGACUUAUUCAUCAAAUACAAAUUUCCUGUUUGGCAAACCUUUCCUUUAGUUUGUUAUUUUGUAGAGUUGGAAAAAAAUAAGGCAACACAUCUUUUAAAAUAGUCACCAAACCUAAUCCUCUCCAUAAUGCUAAAUAUAUUAUAGAUGUAUUGUAUCUACACAUAAAUACAUGUGUGUAUGGAUUAAAAAUACAAUGAAAACCUCUUAAAAUGAAGUGGCAUAUUUAUGGUGAGUAGGAGAAAAGGUGAUUUUUAUAUUCUACCUUAUAUUUGUAAGUAUUUUCUGUAAAGAAUUCUUAUUUUUAUCAUCAACAUAAACAUGUAAAAAAAUCACUAAUGUUUUUGAAUACCUAGCAGGUCUUUCUUCCCUCCAAAUAGUAGAUAUUAAGUAAAGCUGAGUCAUAUUCAGCAUUUAUGAAUGAAAAGACCUGGUAAGUAGUAUGAGAAGCUGUUGCACCACAAUUCCAAAAUUUAUCUCUAGGCCACCCUUGUUGGAAGCAAUCAAUCAGGCAGUCCAUUCAGUUUAGAAUAUGAAAGGAGCCUUGACUACCUCUUACUUUGCAUCAGCAACCACCUCUUAUUAUCUUCUCAUGGCAGGAUUGUGGGAGAAGUCGAGGAGGAUGUUGAUUCUACCUUUGUAUGUGUUCCACAGAAGUUCAGAGGUGUCUUGGUCAAACUGCGGCAGCUCACACCCAGCACAGUAACUAUGUGGUUACUGAAUACCUUAUAAGCCAUUAGGAGUGCUAAACACCUCCCAUAAAACUUCUCCAAAUCCUAUUGGUUACCAUUACAAUGAUUACAUUACAAUGAUUGCAGGUGAAUUGAAUAUCUUAUUUAUUCCAGGUAAUUUUCCAUGCACUUUAAAGAUACAAUUUACUUUUUCACCACAAAUAAUCACAGACUGAUGCUCAGGGAUAGGGAAGAAAUUGCCCAGGUUUCCACAGCUGGUGCAUUACAGAGGUGAUACUCAAAGCCAAAGUCAGCCAAAAGAAAGUCCCUACCCUCAACACAACACAGCACUGAGUGCCACAGCCUAAUAGCCACACCGCAUUCCGGCUGUUGCAAAUAUCCAUCCAGGCAGGGCACUGGGAACUUUAAAGGGCCUUGGUGUUUGCUGGUCACUCUUGAAUUUGGAUGUUUGAUUCUUGAGAUAAACAUGAGGUUGGAUUGACCAGAUAACUCUCUUGAGACUGGAACAUAUUUAUAGGCUCAGAAAAAGCACAUUAUUAAGAAAGAGCACUGGAUUAAGGGUCAGACAGUUUGAGUUUUAACCUCUGCUUCUUCCCUUAAUUAAAUAUAUGAUCUUAGCUGUGUAUUUCACCUCUCUAAACCUCAACUUUUUAAAUUGAUCAGCAUAUACACCAAUGAGGAGACAAAAUGAGAUAAAGUAUUUUAUCAUGACUUGAAACUUUCUUUUAUUAAUAUAAUUUUAAUUAAUGACAUCUUCAUCUUCGCAAUCAACUGUCCUCAAUGAUCUAAGCAUGCAAUUUAGAAUUGUCUGAACUAGAUAGUGCACAUAAGCUUUUGUUUAACAUAGACUUCAAUAGGUCUUUCUGGAAGUAAAGUGUCAUUUUAAACAAGAACGUGAGUUCAGUCUGCAAUCAGGCAGGUGUUAGUAAUUUCUAUUUUUCUUGCCUGCCCUAACCUUCUAAAACCCAAAUCAUGAACUCAGAUAUUUUAUUAUUGAUAGGAUAGAUGUCAAAUGGCUCGAUAAAUAACCAGUUAGGAAGGUUGUUCUCGCUGUAAUAAUCACAAAAUCUCAGUGUCAUAACAUUAUAAAAUUCUCUCUCUCCAUAUCAUAGUCCAAUGUCAAUUGGGUGGCUCAUCUUGGUGUCUCCUCUGUAAGUAGAAACUUGAUGAUCCAGGUGUCUUUUUCCUUGCAAUGUUUGCCUGUUAACUAUGUGUCCUCCAGGGAUUAUUGCAGGAGAGAGGGAGGGUCUUACUGAAGAUUUUGGAAAUGAGAGCUGAAUAUGUUGUGUAUUUCUUUAGGCCACAUUAUAUUGCCCAGAAUGAGUCAUGUGAUUUCAGCCUACUGCAAACCUUACUGUGUGUCCAGGAAGUGGAGAUGGAAUCUGUGAAUAUGGUGGUUUCUUUUCUGGACACGGGGCUGAAACACAGCCACCGUGCAUCAGUAUGCUGAGAGUCUGUUCUUACUGGCUGGUGUCUUUGCUGUUCCAGUUGUUCAGUAUUACGCUGGCUGAAAUUGCUUGUUAUAGUGAUUAAGAGCAGUAUUAAAAUAGGUUUAUGUUUUGUUUCAUUUCAUUUUAUUCCAUUCCCUUCCAUUUUACUUUAUUUUAUGAAGAGAGUGUAAUUUUAUUGCCACAAAUUACCAUCCCAUAUGUCUUGUAAUUGGAGUCAUAGAAUAUGUAGCCUUUCAGAUCGAGGUUUUCACUUAGCAGUAUGCAUUUAAUGUUCAUCCAUGUUUUCGAUAGCUUGAUAACUUACUUUUUUAAAUUGUUUUGUCGAACUGCUGUACCACAGUUUGUUUAUCCAUUCACGUACUGAAGGACUUGGUUGCUUCCAGCUCUUGGCAUUUAUAAUACAGCUGCUAUACAUAUUCAUGUGCAGAUUUUAUGUAUAUAAAAAGUUUCAAAUCAGUUGAGUAGAUACCUAGGGCACAAGUGUUGGAUUGCAUGGCAAGACAAUGUUUGAUUUUGUAAGAGACUGCCAAAGUGUGCAAAACGUACCAUUUUGCAUUCCCAGCAGCAAUGAAUGAGAGUUCCUGUUGCUCCAUGUUCUCACCAGCAAUUGGUACUGUCAGCUUUUUAAAAAUUUGUCAUUCUAGCAGAAGUGUAGUUGUUGGACAUCCUUUCAAAGUUUCAAAUAUUCUGGGACCAAUAUAAACAUAGCCAGACAGUGGCCUAGAAAAUUCUCUUGACAUUGACAUUAUUCACUCUGCGUGGGUGACUGGAUAGGUUAUGAUGUAAGGAAAGAUACAAUUUUCUCCAUGCAGACUGGAUAAGCAAUUGCACAGGGUUAAGCUAUAUAAAAUACUCAUUCAUUAGAGGGCUGAAUGAUCAGCUGGUAAAAUCUCUGAUUUGAUCCGUCUCUUGGGCACAGUGACAGUGCCCUUUCCAGUGGUUUUCUCUAAAUCCAUCUCCUUCACACCUUCGUGGAACAUAGGUUUGUUGCUAGAGCAUCUCUGUAAUCUAUUUUCCAUGGCAGAAUUAGCUGAAAGAUAAACAGAUUUAAAUCAUCACUUAAAUUAUAUAGAAAAUGCUGACUCUAGGGCUUAAGGGAAACACAGAGACUUGUUCUUAGAGAAACCAAGAAAUUGAUUUCUAAGGAAAAGAAUGCCUCCAGGGAAGAGGACACAGUGAUAUGAUAAGAAAGAAUCUUGAGUCCUUACCUCAGAAACUAAGCUUCCAGCUAUUCAACUUUCUCUUCUCUUUACACAAAGCAAAUAGCUAGUGUGAAAGAAUAGCCUCCAGUCAAAGAUAAUUGAUAACAUCAUAAGAUUCAGUAUUUUACCUAUGUACGAUAGAUAAGUGCAAAAACAUGUGGGAGUACCUAUAUGAACAAACCUUCACCCCAUAUUCAGAGGGAAAUAUAUUACUGAAACCAGGCAAGAAAGAAUAUAAAAUGUACAAUCAGAAGAAUAAGCAAAACCAUAAAUUAUUUAAAAGUAUUCAGAAAAAAAUAUCUCAUUGUCUGGAAAGAAAAAAUUUAACUUCAGUAAAGAAAGAAGUCCCUAAAGUAUUAUAAAAGAAGAAAACAAGAUGAUAGGGUAUAGACAUAAAAAGUGAACUAAAUUAAUUUUUAAAAAUUUAGAGGAGAAUAAUAAAACCAUUAGAGAAACUGAAUCAUCAUUAGAAGAAAAAAAAAAAGUAGAGUUAAAACUUUACCGAAUAUCAAAAUUUGUGAAGGACAAGUUUAGAAAAGUAAGAUAAAGUAACAACAAAUUGGAAAACAGUAAAAGUGAUCCAAAAAAUAUAGCUAGGAUUAUAGAAGAAAACAACCAUAUAAGUGAUUAAUGUUUCUGAAAAAGAAAACAAAUUGGGUAGAAAACAAUAUUUAUAAUGUAACAGAAAAACACUGAAUUAAAAAAAUACAUACACAAAGUGAAAGUGUGUACAGUCUUCAAAAAUUUGAUUUAGCAGAAAACCAUACCAAAUGUGAGACAUAGCUGCAUAAGUUAUUGUUUCUAAGAUAAAAAAUGACUCCUAAAGUCAUUCCAACACACACACACACACACACACACACACACACACACACUCCCCUACAGAGAGGGGAAUGAGCAAUAGACUAGUUCCUGCUGUUUUUUUGUUUUUUGUUUUUUUUUUUUCUAGGCAACAGUUAAUGCUAGCAGACAGCGAAGCAAUGUACACAGGCAAGGUGUACCCUGCUCUAAGGGAAGGGAAGUGUGACCCAAGGACUUCAUGCCAUGCCAAAUUGGUGUUCAAGAAUAAAGGCAAUCAAAAACCAUUUUUAUACAUGGUAGAGCUCAGAGCAAAUGUCACCCAUGAGCCUUUCUUGAAAAAAGAUGUGGUCAUAAAGUCCAGUCAACCAAGAAAUGAAGCAAAAUAAAAUGCAUAGAAAUGGAGGAACUAUGGUAACAAAGUUCUAUGUACUGAAUUUAUUUUAAUUUGAACUAACUUUAAAGAAAGUUUGGAAUUUUGGUUAAUAUGCAAAAUGUUGAGUAUUAUAAACCAUGAAAAUUAUACGAAAAUGAAACUAACAUAAAUUAGAAGUGAGAAACAGGGUGGUGAAUGGAAGUUUGUGUAUGAGUGUGUAUUUGUAUGUGCACACAUGCUAAUUUUUAAAAGUUUUCAU